GACGAACGCUGGCGGCGUGCCUAACACAUGCAAGUCGAACGGGGUUGCCCUUCGGGGCAACUUAGUGGCGAACGGGUGAGUAACGCGUGAGGAACCUGCCUUCCAGUGGGGGACAACAGUUGGAAACGACUGCUAAUACCGCAUAACACAACGAGACCGCAUGAUCUUGUUGUCAAAGCUUUAUGUGCUGGAAGAUGGCCUCGCGUCUGAUUAGCUGGUUGGUGAGGUACGCCACAAGGCGACGAUCGGUAGCCGGACUGAGAGGUUGAACGGCCACAUUGGGACUGAGACACGGCCCAG
rnacentral:rRNA from 1 species